ACGGUUACCUUGUUACGACUUCACCCCAAUUAUCGAACCCACCUUCGGCCGCGCCCCCCUUGCGGUUAGGCUACGGACUUCGGGUGUUCCCGACUCUCAUGGUGUGACGGGCGGUGUGUACAAGGCCCGGGAACGUAUUCACCGCGGCAUGCUGAUCCGCGAUUACUAGCGAUUCCGACUUCACGCAGUCGGGUUGCAGACUGCGAUCUGAACUGGGACGGCUUUUAGGGGUUCGCUCCACCUCGCGGUUUUGCAUCCCUCUGUUGGCCGCCAUUGUAUUACGUGUGUAGCCCAGGACAUAAGGGGCAUGAUGAUUUGACGUCGUCCCCACCUUCCUCCGUUUUGUCAACGGCAGUCUCGCUAGAGUGCUCUUGCGUAGCAACUAACAAUAAGGGUUGCGCUCGUUGCGGGACUUAACCCAACAUCUCACGACACGAGCUGACGACAACCAUGCACCACCUGUCUCUGCUUUCCCCGAAAGGCACCUGACGUAUCUCUACCUCGUUAGCAGGAUGUCAAGCCCUGGUAAGGUUCUUCACGUUGCAUCGAAUUAA
rnacentral:rRNA from 1 species